UGGGGAAUUUUGCACAAUGGGGGAAACCCUGAUGCAGCGACGCCGCGUGAUUUAGAAGGCCUUCGGGUUGUAAAAAUCUUUUCUAUGGGAAGAAAAUGACAGUACCAUAGGAAUAAGGACCGGCUAAUUACGUGCCAGCAGCCGCGGUAAUACGUAAGGUCCGAGCGUUGUCCGGAAUCAUUGGGCGUAAAGGGUACGUAGGCGGGUAAGCAAGUUAGAAGUGAAAUCCUAUAGCUCAACUAUAGUAAGCUUUUAAAACUGCUCAUCUUGAGGUAUGGAAGGGAAAGUGGAAUUCCUAGUGUAGCGGUGAAAUGCGCAGAUAUUAGGAGGAAUACAGGUGGCGAAGGCGACUUUCUGGCCAUAACCAGACGCUGAGGUACGAAAGCGUGGGUAGCAAACAGG
rnacentral:rRNA from 1 species